UACGGGGGGGGCUAGCGUUGUUCGGAAUUACUGGGCGUAAAGCGCGUGUAGGCGGUCCGGUAAGUCCGCUGUGAAAGUCGAGGGCUCAACCCUCGAAUGCCGGUGGAUACUGUCGGGCUUGAGUACGGGAGAGGCGAGUGGAAUUCCUGGUGUAGCGGUGAAAUGCGCAGAUAUCAGGAGGAACACCGAUUGCGAAGGCAGCUCGCUGGAACGUUACUGACGCUGAGACGCGAAAGCGUGGGGAGCAAACAGG
rnacentral:rRNA from 1 species